rnacentral:rRNA from 1 species
GACGAACGCUGGCGGCGUGCUUAACACAUGCAAGUCGAACGGAAAGGCCCCUUUGGGGGUACUCGAGUGGCGAACGGGUGCGUAACACGUGAGUAACCUGCCCUUGACUUCGGGAUAACUUCAGGAAACUGGGGCUAAUACCGGAUAGGAAUCCUUGCUGCAUGGUGGGGGUUGGAAAGCUUCGGCGGUUUUGGAUGGACUCGCGGCUUAUCAGCUUGUUGGUGGGGUAGUGGCUUACCAAGGCUUUGACGGGUAGCCGGCCUGAGAGGGCGACCGGCCACAUUGGGACUGAGAUACGGCCCAGACUCCUACGGGAGGCAGCAGUGGGGAAUAUUGCACAAGGGGCGGAAGCCUGAUGCAGCAACGCCGCGGGCGGGAUGACGGCCUUCGGGUUGUAAACCGCUUUCAGCAGGGGCGAAGCUUGUGGUGACGGUACCUGCAGAAGAAGCACCGGCUAACUACGUG